AGAGAGAGAGAGAGAGCUCCAUUGAAGAAAAUCGGUUGGGUGGUGCAAGAGCUAGUGUUCAUGGGUUGAGUCGUGGUAAUGGCACUCUCUCAAGCUGUCCCAGCCCUAGCUUUCUUCCGAGGCAGUUCAACUCAGACAGUAGAGUGAAGCGCUCCCCUCUCUUGGUUGUAGGUGCAAUUUUCUAUGCUGAUCUCUCUCUCUCUCUUUCUUGCUCUAGAAUAACGCAUACAUGACGCUGUUUCUUAGGUGAUUUUUGACAUUGUUGUGGCUUCCUGUGUUUACUUGCAUUAUUUAAAGUUCAUGCUUUCGAUGGGUUCAGUUUCUGUGUGUGAUAUAGGCAUCCUUUAUAGGCUUCUUGAAUGUGGAAAACAGCAUCGGAGUGUCACUAAAUAUGGAUGCUUAACUGAAUUUAACCUCCACUGUGGUGUUUCCCACUUGGGAUCAUGCUGGGAUGUGAAUUUGAAUGGUCCUAGCUGAUGUUUAUUAAGCCCUUGGUGAAAACCAUGUCCUAGAUUGCCACCAUUCUGGAAAUGGUCAUUUAUGAUUUGAAUUUGACCUUAAAACUUUGAGUGGGUUAUCAUAUUGACAUGCUAACUUCUCUUACUGUUUAUCUAUAAUGUCCCUUUGAAAUGUUAGUGGCAAAGCUACACUUGAUUCAAAGUUUUGCACAUUUAUAUGGCAAUAUGUUCGAGGAACGGUAACGUGGCACAUGGUCUGUUUGUGUCGGAGACCCAUUAAAUUUGCUUUCGAUUUUUACCCUGGCCUUCAACUCUCCUUGUACUAAAUUUCUCUCUCCAUCAUUCUUCUGUUUUUAUAUGAAAUUAUGAAUUCUAUACUACCACGUUGGUGCUGGUCUCAUCAACACAAGAACCACCUGCUCUUACUGCCAAAAUCUUGAUUUCAGAGUACUUCUCUUCCCACCCACCAAAGAAAAACACACGCGCACACACACAGAUGUUUCCAAUUGGAUGUCUAUAGGAAACGAGUCGUAAAGGAAACUGCAGCUACAAAUCGAGGAGCAUGCAAGGUACCUCCAAAAGAUGGUCGAUGAGCGACAGAUAUGCGGACUCAAUCAAGAUUCAGUUUAGGAUAUGGUCAAGAGUCAUGAAUGAGUUGGUGGCAGUCUUAGACUGCAUUUGGGUUGUGGCUCUUACUUAUAGCAUAAGACAGUGAUGCCAUCAUAGUUGGGUCAUGUCAAUUCAUCAAUAUAUAUUGUCUGGGGGUCAUCUUAAACGGGUAAACUGUCACAAUUUAUCCCCAAUUUUUCAAGCUUAUGCAGUAUUUACUUCAUGGUGUAUAUAUUUUUGGUAAUCAUGUUCAAUACCUAUUGCUUUUAUCCCUUAUGACAAUGGCUGAAAUGUUGAGAUCUUGAGAUUUUAAUUACUUUUGUUAAGCAUUUAAGUAUUUUUGCUUUUGUUCCUUAUGACAAUGGUUUAAAAUAUCAGUUGGUUUACCUUCUCUUAAUUUAAUGGUAACAUGGUUUGUAACUGUUGGCAUGAUGUGGAUGUGGAGGCGCGACUGGUGCAAUUGCUCCUACCUGAGUCCCGAACUCUUGACCAUCAUCCAUGAGGCUCCUAGUCGAUACACUUGGCAUGGAUUGCAGUUCAGUUUUUACCCCAGCUCCUAGCUCUUAUGGCUACUCUCUCUCUCUCUCUCUUCGUUUUUUGUUUUGUUUCGAUGGGUCCCCUGUUUUUAGUCUCGUUCUAUGUGUAUUAUUAAUGCAUACUGGUUGUUUAUGGGUGAUCUCUCUCUCUCUUUAUAUAUAUAUAUCUCUGUUUGUUAUUUUUUUUUGUUUUGAUGGGUUCCCUAUUUCCACUUUGUUUCUGUGUAUUAAUGCAUACCGGUUGUUGAUGGGUGA